UCCAUUAACACGAUGAGCAAUAAAUAAACUUCACAAACUCCCAAAUAGCAUUAUUCAAUGCUUCCACUUCAUCAUUUAAAGUCAAUGCCUCUACUAUCCUUUUCCAUUUUCCUAUCCCAUUUCUCAUGUAGUAAUAAAAAUUCAUCAAAACACACACGCCAAUUAAACCUCCAAAAUGGUCCUUUUCAAAUUAACAUUCAUCUUAUUAUUUCUUCUAUUUCAACCCCUUCAUUCUUCUUCUGCUGUAACUGUACCUGAAGAUGAUAUAAAAUGCUUACAAGGUGUCAAAACAUCCUUACAAGAUUCCAAAAACAGCUUAAAUUCAUGGAACUUUGCAAACUCCACAGUUGGUUUUAUCUGUAAAUUUGUUGGUGUUUCUUGUUGGAACGACCGUGAAAAUCGUCUUAUUAACCUUGAACUUCGUGACAUGAAUCUCGAAGGCAAAGUUCCAGAUUCUUUAAAGUACUGUGGAAGUUUACAGAAUCUUGAUCUUUCUGGUAAUAAACUUUCGGGUUCGAUUCCUUCUGACAUUUGUACUUGGUUGCCUUUCUUAGUUAAUCUUGAUUUGUCCAAUAAUGAAUUUACUGGUACUAUACCAGUUGAUCUUGUUAGUUGUACCUAUUUGAAUAAGUUGAUGCUUAAUGAUAAUAAGCUUAAUGGUAAUAUACCCCCUCACUUUUCUAGUUUAGGGAGGCUUAAGACUUUCUCUGUGGCGAAUAACGAGCUUUCUGGGAGGAUUCCGGAAGCGUUUGAUUCGGUUGAUUCGGUUGAUUUUGGAGGGAAUGAUGGACUUUGUGGUGGACCGUUAGGGAAAUGUAGGAGGGUUAGUGAGAAAGGUUUAGUUAUUAUUAUUGCUGCUGGGGUGUUUGGUGCUGCUGCUUCUUUGUUGUUGGGUUUUGGGGCUUGGUAUUGGUAUUUUAUGAAGGCCGGGAAGAGGAGGCAGAUGGGGUAUGGGUUAGGGAGAGUUGAUUCGGAGAGGUGGGCGGAUAAGUUGAGAGGUUAUAGGCUUACUCAGGUUACGUUGCUUAAGAAACCGCUUGUGAAGGUUAAGUUGGCGGAUUUGUUGGCUGCCACGAAUAAUUUUAGUACGAGGAGUGUGAUUAACUCGACUAGGACAGGGACUACGUUUAGAGCUGUUUUGCGUGAUGGUUCUGCGCUUGCUAUUAAACGGCUUAAAAGUUGUAAGUUGAGUGAGAAGUUGUUUCAAAUGGAGAUGAAUGAGCUAGGACAAGUUAGGCAUCCUAAUUUGGUGCCACUUUUGGGUUUUUGUGUUGUUGAGGAGGAAAAGCUUUUGGUUUAUAAGCACCUGUCGAAUGGUACUUUGUAUUCGUUGUUGAAUGGGAACGCGAGUGUGUUGGAUUGGCCUACUAGGUUUAGGAUUGGCUUGGGUGCUGCGAGGGGCCUUGCUUGGCUUCACCAUGGUUGCCAACCGCCAAUAUUGCACCAAAACAUAUGUUCUAACGUUAUUUUCCUUGAUGAGGACUUUGAUGCUAGAAUAAUGGAUUUUGGGUUGGCAAGGUUGUUGACACCUCCAGACGCAAAGGAGACCAGUUUUGUGAACGGGGAGUUGGGUGAAUUUGGCUAUGUUGCUCUGGAGUACUCAAGCACAAUGGUGGCUUCACUAAAAGGGGAUGCUUAUAGCUUUGGGGUUGUGCUUUUGGAGUUGGCUACUGGGCAAAGACCACUAGAAAUCACUGCAGCUGAUGAAAGUUUUAAGGGAAAUUUGGUGGACUGGGUAAAUCAGCUCUCUGUUUCUGGUCGAAUUAAAGAUGCCAUUGAUAAGCACAUAUGUGGGAAGGGCCAUGAUGAAGAGAUAGUAAAAUUCAUCAAAAUUGCUUGCAAUUGUCUAAUUUCUCGGCCCAAGGAGAGGUGGUCUAUGUAUCAGGUAUAUGAAGCACUGAAGAGCAUGGCUGAGAAACAAGGUUUCUCUGAACAGUAUGACGAAUUUCCCUUAUUUUUUAACAAACAAGAGAUCAGCAAUCCCAUUUGAUGCAUGAAUGGAAAAGCAUUACGAGAUUUUUCACAUCUGCUGAACACAAAUGCAUAAUUAGCUAAAUGUUGAUUGCUUGUCGUCCCAGUAGUUGUUUUGGUGACAGUUUUGGCUGCCGGCUUUACUAAAACCUCAGCAGAAACAAAACAUAGAAAACUAAGUAAAAGAAGAGCCAUCAAGAAACAGCUGCCACGACCAGCACCAUCACCACACAUAAUUCCAGUAUUCCUCUCCGGUGUUUGCUCUUCAAUGCACAUUUGUGAAUCAGAGGAACACACCAACCCCAAAUUUUAAACAAGGAUAUAGUGGAUUUUAUCCUCUGGUACUAUGUAGACAGAAGCUGCAAACAUAAACAAUCUUAUUCUGUUGUUCGGGUGCUCUUUCACCGAGGAUUUUUAUUUGCCAUAAGAUUAAUAUAUAGCAUGCAAAAGUUAAAAAUUGGUUA